rnacentral:lncRNA from 1 species
GAGAUGGUUGACAUUUUUAUCCGCACCAUAACUUGUAAAAAAUAAGACAUAACACGUAAAAACUAUACCAUUUUAUGAUAGUUUUGCUCGUCCCGGUGAGCGAUCGUUUUACAACCUUGCAAAUUAUUACUGUUUACAGUUUUCAAGCAAAAACACACAAAAAUUAUAUAAAAUAUAUUGUCUAAGUAUAUAUACAAGUAAAUAAAAACAACGAACAGUUCGUAGACGAAGGUGUCAUGGAUGCAUAACGAUCGUCCAUGACAACCUGGUAUUUUGAGGAAAAAUGCUCGAUUUAAAUGGGCUCGUCUUCCAAUUCCGAUCGGUUUUGGUUCUACGGAUUAUAAAUAUCGUUUUGUACCAGUUUCUUUGCAUGACUUACCCGCAGGGACAGCAGGUGACUGGAGAGGCAAGGACGGGACCCGUUCCAAUCGCCUGCUCCAUUCCUCCCUCUUCAGCAUUCUAUCAAACACCAUCAAGGCUACUCGUCAACAUUCUUUAUACUAAACAAGCUUGAGGUCAAGAAGAAAAAAGAAAACUUACCUCUUGGUUAUGGUAGGAUGGUGUCAUUGCACACAACGGAAUAGUUCUCGACGCUGGCAGAUUGGAGCUAUGAGCAGCGCUUGAAGCAGAGGGGGAAAGAGAGAUGAACGAAAAAGUAGAUCGUUUGGGAAUGGCGUGUCGUGUGUUUUAGGUAACCUGGACUCGAGCGGGCCAGUGGUAGACGGACCAAAGUGAUGGAGUACCGUUCUUAAAUAGAGCUCAGUACAAACAGUU